GAUGAACGCUGGCGGCGUGCCUAAUACAUGCAAGUCGAGCGAACGGACGAGAAGCUUGCUUCUCUGAUGUUAGCGGCGGACGGGUGAGUAACACGUGGAUAACCUACCUAUAAGACUGGGAUAACUUCGGGAAACCGGAGCUAAUACCGGAUAAUAUUUUGAACCGCAUGGUUCAAAAGUGAAAGACGGUCUUGCUGUCACUUAUAGAUGGAUCCGCGCUGCAUUAGCUAGUUGGUAAGGUAACGGCUUACCAAGGCAACGAUGCAUAGCCGACCUGAGAGGGUGAUCGGCCACACUGGAACUGAGACACGGUCCAGACUCCUACGGGAGGCAGCAGUAGGGAAUCUUCCGCAAUGGGCGAAAGCCUGACGGAGCAACGCCGCGUGAGUGAUGAAGGUCUUCGGAUCGUNAAACUCUGUUAUUAGGGAAGAACAUAUGUGUAAGUAACUGUGCACAUCUUGACGGUACCUAAUCAGAAAGCCACGGCUAACUACGUGCCAGCAGCCGCGGUAAUACGUAGGUGGGCAGCGUUAUCCCGGAAUUAUUGGGCGUAAGCGCGCGUAGGCGGUUUUUUAGUCUGAUGUGAAAGCCCACGGCUCAACCGUGGAGGGUCAUUGGAAACUGGAAAACUUGAGUGCAGAAGAGGAAAGUGGAAUUCCAUGUGUAGCGGUGAAAUGCGCAGAGAUAUGGAGGAACACCAGUGGCGAAGGCGACUUUCUGGUCUGUAACUGACGCUGAUGUGCGAAAGCGUGGGGAUCAAACAGGAUUAGAUACCCUGGUAGUCCACGCCGUAAACGAUGAGUGCUAAGUGUUAGGGGGUUUCCGCCCCUUAGUGCUGCAGCUAACGCAUUAAGCACUCCGCCUGGGGAGUACGACCGCAAGGUUGAAACUCAAAGGAAUUGACGGGGACCCGCACAAGCGGUGGAGCAUGUGGUUUAAUUCGAAGCAACGCGAAGAACCUUACCAAAUCUUGACAUCCUUUGACAACUCUAGAGAUAGAGCCUUCCCCUUCGGGGGGGACAAAGUGACAGGUGGUGCAUGGUUGUCGUCAGCUCGUGUCGUGAGAUGUUGGGUUAAGUCCCGCAACGAGCGCAACCCUUAAGCUUAGUUGCCAUCAUUAAGUUGGGCACUCUAAGUUGACUGCCGGUGACAAACCGGAGGAAGGUGGGGAUGACGUCAAAUCAUCAUGCCCCUUAUGAUUUGGGCUACACACGUGCUACAAUGGACAAUACAAAGGGCAGCGAAACCGCGAGGUCAAGCAAAUCCCAUAAAGUUGUUCUCAGUUCGGAUUGUAGUCUGCAACUCGACUACAUGAAGCUGGAAUCGCUAGUAAUCGUAGAUCAGCAUGCUACGGUGAAUACGUUCCCGGGUCU
rnacentral:rRNA from 1 species